rnacentral:rRNA from 1 species
GUCCGCACCGUAAACGAUGAUCACUCGUUGUUGGCGAUACACAGUCAGCGACUAAGCGAAAGCAUUAAGUGAUCCACCUGGGAAGUACGACCGCAAGGUUGAAACUCAAAGGAAUUGACGGGGGGCCCGCACAAGCGGAGGAGCAUGUGGUUUAAUUCGAUGGUACGCGAGGAACCUUACCUGGGCUUGAAAGACAGUUGACCGUUUCCGAAAGGAGACUUUCGCAAGACAACUGUCUAGGUGCUGCAUGGCUGUCGU